GGUGGUGGUUGUAACUGGUGGAGAGAAGAUUGGCACUGUGGGAAAGUAAGGGACAAUUGGAAUUGUAGUAAUUGGUGGUUGCAAUCUGUACUCAGGGUAUAGCGGUGUCCCUGGGGGCAAAGGAGGCAAUGGCACGUAAGGAAAAUUGGGCAAACUAGGAAAGGUUGGUGGUGCCAAAAGUUUUCGAGUAGCUAGGG